rnacentral:rRNA from 1 species
UACGGGGGGGCAAGCGUUGUUCGGAAUUACUGGGCGUAAAGGGCUCGUAGGCGGCCAACUAAGUCAGACGUGAAAUCCCUCGGCUUAACCGGGGAACUGCGUCUGAUACUGGAUGGCUAGAGUUUGGGAGAGGGAUGCGGAAUUCCAGGUGUAGCGGUGAAAUGCGUAGAUAUCUGGAGGAACACCGGUGGCGAAGGCGGCAUCCUGGACCAACACUGACGCUGAGGAGCGAAAGCCAGGGGAGCAAACGGG